rnacentral:lncRNA from 1 species
AGACAAAGCAGGGGGAAGAAGGUGGGAUAACUUUGUUUGCUGGGUCUUCUGGCUUUUCCCUUUCCUAUACUGGAUGCUUCCUCCUGCUCCUCCUGCCCUUGGACAUCAUACUUCAGGUUCUUCAGCCUUUGGAUUCCUGCACUUACACCAUUGGUUUGCUGGGGGCUCUUGGGCCUUUGGCCACAGACUGAAGGGUGCACUGUCAGCUUCCCUGGUUUUGAGGCUUUCGGACUCAGACUGAGCCACUACUGGAUUCUUUCUUCCCCAGCUUGCAGAUGGUCUAUCCUGGGACUUCACCUUGUAAUCAGAGUCUUGCUCUGUCACCCAGGCUGGAGUGCCCUAGUGCGAUCUCAGCUCACUGCAACCUCUGCUUCCCGGGUUCAAGCCAUUCUCCUGCCUCAGCCUCCUGAGGAGCUGGGAUUACAGGUGCCUGCCACCACACCUGGUUAAUUUUUGUAUUUUUUAGUAGAGACAGGGUUUUGCCAUGUUGGCCAGGCUGGUCUCAAACUCCUGACCUCAGGUGAUCCACCCGCCUUGGCCUCCCAAAGUGCUGGGAUUACAGGAGUGAGCCACUGCGCCCGGUCUGAUUUUGAUUUUUAAUACUGCUGCUGGACCCAUGAACUACAGUGAUACUAUCAUCGCCUAGAGGCUAACAUGAAAAUUGCAGUAAAAAUUUGGAAACUAGAUUAUUAUGUUAAAAUCACAUUUCCUACUUAAAAAAAAAAAAAGGAGGAGGAGGAUCAUUGGAGAAAUGGCUGGUUCUGGGUCUCUGGGUCUCAUAAAAGAUGUAUUCAAGAGGAGUCUGAGGCAUCUUGUUCUACCCAAAAACAAGAAAAUUACCAAAGAUAGUAAAGUCAAAGAUCACAGAAACCAACAUAAAGGGGCUCCAGUGCCAAAAGAUGGACAAUUUUACCAGCUAAAAUAAUGGUUCUAAAUCCUCUAAUAUGUCUCACAAGCCUCCAAAACAGAUCCCUGAAAUUUCCACUUCUAGUUAGGAUGAAGAAACUUCCAAGAGUCCAGCACUCCCACUGUAAUAACAAUAGCAAGCCAGAUAAGCUACAGUCAUGGGUUUUUUAACGAAAAUGCACAAAUAUCUCAAUAAACCUAAUUCCAAAAAAGAUAAGCCUUUCCUAUGAGAAAACAGAGCCAUGGUCUCUUCUAUUCCUAAGGAAGCAGUGGAAAAAGAAUAAAUGCUGUAGAUGAGGACAAGAAAUUAGUUGAACUUUAAUAAACUUCAAAUGACUACAUGUGAGCUACCAUGAUGCAUCAGAAUCAAAAGAAACCCCAUUCACUAAACAAGGCUGAAUCCAUUCAUCAAUUCUUUCCUACAGGUCUUCACUAAUAGCUCCAAAAAUGUAGGGUAGAGCAGGAGAGCUGAAAGAUAUCCACACCCUGAGGUGCAUAAGUUCUUUGGCAAGUGAAAAGCAGCAGCAUUUUGAAGUCUGGGGACACAACAAGAGAGCUGAAGGAGAAGAGCCAACCUGGAUGCAGAGAGCCAUCACUUACUGCAAGGCAGCAGCCACCAAGCAAUGGGAAAAGUAAAAAAGAGCUGAAAGAAAUCCCUCAGAAGCACACUGGAUCUUCCCUAAGUGCACUGCAACUGUCCACCAAAGUGUGAGACCAGAGUGGUAAGACAAAGGAAGAUCUCAUAGGUGGGUGAAAGUAAAAAUAUCCCCAGUGACCCAAUAAGCUGAAAGCUAGGCUGUAAAAGACAGAAGGCAAGAGAAAGAGAGAAAUUCCCCCUUCCUAAAGCUGACAGCUGGUCUAUAAAUAGAUAAAUAGAUAAAGAGAUAUCUGGAGUUUUGCUGGUGCUCGGAUCCCAGCCUUUGCUGAAUAGUAAGACUUGACACUACCAUCAGAAUAUCUCAAGCCAGCAUAUGGAAACAAAAAAGAGCCCAAAGAGACAGGGCAAUCCUAAGCAAAAAGAAGAAAGCUGGAGGCAUCACACUAUCUGACUUUAAAUUAUACUACAAAGCUACAAUAACCAAAACAGUAUGGUACUGGUAAAAAAACAGACACAUAGACCAGUGGAACAGAAUAGAAAACUCAGAAAUAAAGCCAUACACCUACAACCAUCUGACCUUCAACAAAGCUGACAAAAAUUAGCAAUGAAGAAAUGACUCUGUAUUUAAUAAUUGGUGCUGGGAUAACUGGUUAGCCAUACACAGAAGAAUGAAAUUGGACCCCUACCUUUCACCAUAUACAAAAAUUAACUCAAGGUGGAUCUCAAACUAUAAAAAUCCUAGAAGAAAACCUAGGAAAUACCAUCCUGGACAACAGCCUUGGCAAAGAAUAUAUGACUAAGACCUCAAAAGCAACUGCAAUAAAAACAAAAAUUGACAAGAGGGAUCCAAUUAAACUAAAGAGCUUUUGCACAGCAAAAGAACCCAUCAACAGAGUAGACAGACAAUCCACACAAUGGGAGAAAAUAUUUGCAAACUAUGUUUCUGACAAAUGUCUAAUAUCCUGAAUCUAUAAGGAACUUAACUCAAUAAACUAAAAACAAAAAAUCCCAUUAAAAAGUAGGCAAAGGACAUGAACAAACACUUUUUCUUUUCUUUUGUGUGUGUGUGUGUGUGUGUGUGUGUGUGUGUGUGUGUGUGUGUGUGAUGGAGUCUCAUUUUGUCACACAGGCUGGAGUGCAGUGGUGCAAUAUUAGUUCACUGCAGCCUCUGCCUCCCAGGUUCAAGCGAUUCUAAUGCCUCAGCCUCCCAAGUAGCUGGUACUACAGGCACCCACCACCACGCCCAGCUAAUUUUUGUAUUUUUAGUAGACAUAGGGUUUCACCAUGUUGGCCAAGCUGGUCUUGAACUCCUGACCGCCUCGGCCUCUCAAAGUGCUAGGAUUAUAGGCGUGGGCCACCAUGCCCAGCCUGAACAAACACUUUUCAAAAGAAGACAUACAAAUGGCCAACAAACAUACCAAAAAAAAAAAUGUUCAACAUCGCUACUGAUCAGAGAAACACAAAUCAAAUUCACAAUGAGAUACCAUCUCACACCAGUUAGAAUGGCUAUUAUAAAAAAGGCAAAAAA